GGUGUGUGCGCCAUGGGGGAAUGGGAUCGCUGUGAGCGUGUGCGGGAGGCUGAGCCGCUCCCGCAGCGCUGUCAGAGUACGGACGGGGCUUGGGUACUGUGGGAGCGCUGCUCUGGGAUUCCCUGAGCCCCAGGCUGUGCAGUGCUUGUUCCCCAGGAGGUUUGGGCUCCCUCGUCCCCAGGACAGGAGACUGGCGUCACCCCAUUGCCCGUUCCUGGGAAAAGGCGAGCUCUGGGUCAGCUGCGCUGGGGAAUCCAGCGCUGCCCGGCCGCGUCUCGGUGUCCUGUUCCUGAACGCCCCUGUGACUCCCUGCAGAGCCGUGCCCGGGGCUCGGGUGGUGGUGGUGGGAUCCUGACUCUCACUUUUCCUACAGCUGGUAUCAGUCUAACAGCUCCUCUGUAGGUGAUGCUCAGAGUUUCACCAUUGCGUUUUUGCCGGGUUUUGAAGGGAAGAACAACAGCAACAAGUGAAAUAGAACCUUUCAUUCUCUGGUUUGCAAUGGACAUUAAAGCUCGUUCGCUUACGAGAGUAUUUGGUGGGGAGGGUCAUGGUAAAAGGAGUUCUCCUUAUGCGUGUGGCCAUUCAAACCACAGCAGUGCUACUUCCUGUAAGUGCUGGCUGCUCAAGUGUGGAAAGAAUGGAGAAGGAAGAACGACAACGCAUUUUUUUCCCCCUCAUCUUGUGAAACAAUUUCACGGAAGACAGGAUUUGGGUAGAGAGCCAAGAGCUGUCUUGGGCGCUUUGGGGCAGGAGUGGGUUUUGUAACAGGUGUGGAGUUUGGAGGAGAGCUUUCUUAAAGGUCACUCUUGGCUCUUGCCUUGCAUGAAGUCACGUUGUGUCGUUACUAGAAGGUGUUCACACAGCAUGACUAGAGAAAUACAAAGCCUGUGUAGGACUGUGGCUGCUGAACACAAAUUUGGCUAUAAAAAAUACUUCUAAAAGUGUUGGUUAGCAUUUAGAUAUUGCAGAUUAAUCUUUUAAUCUGGGGGAUAACCAGCGAGGUAUUUGCCUGACCCUCUUUUAUUCACCACUGACUUGCUGUGAGGAUGUUGCAUGGAGUUUGUAAACUUUGGGAUCUGAGUAAGUUGGUCAGGAGGAAAACCUCAUAGUCAAAUGUCAGAUUUGAUGUCAGCUCCAGUGUGUCACUAAGCUCUGAGGCAGGAAAUGGGACAGAGUUCUGCCCUCACGUACUGCUUACAAAGCCCUGGAAAAGUUAGCUGGGGUUUGACAAGGUGGGGUGUGGGAUUUGGGUUUUAGUAGAUGUGUUUUAAGCACAGUUCUCUUCUUGCUUUUUAGAAAUUUAAGACAGUGUUAUAUAAGAAGUCUCAAUGCUCAGAUCUUAACUCAGUAUUUGUCAGAGUAAUGCACAAUUGGUGUCAUUGAACCAGAUAUGUGCUAGUUUUAAUUUGUUCAGUGGAUAAAUUAUUAAAGUAGGGCAGUGGUAUUUGACCUCAGCCUCUCAGUUAUAAUAGCAGGAGUCCUGAUCAUUUGGUAGUACCAGGAUAGUUUUUUGAAUUAUUAGUUCAGUUGCUCAUUAAGAAUUUAUUUUUGUUUUUUCCCCCACCCCCCACAACUGUGUUUUGGCUAGUGUUACAUACCUGAAGUAUUUAGCAAAAUAAUAAGUGUAAAAACACCUGAUUUGUGUUUCAAAUUACUGCUGUCCCUGUUCCCUGGAAUGUGAACAUUUGACUCUCUACCCUGAAGUUUUGUCUCACACCAGUUAUUCUGAAGAUGGAGGGAACAUCACAGCAUUCUAACCUGACAGGUGUCCUUAGAGCACAGUUCAUGUGUCUGGGCCUCAGGGGUCACUCCUGGGGUUAAUUGCAGUUUUAGGAACAGAAAUCAAGUCCCAUAAGCUUGAUUUAUUGUAUGUUGAAAGCAUUUUUCUUUCUCCUCCUAUUUUUCCCUUACCAAUUGUCCAUGAUACUUAGCUCAGAGGGAACAUGUGUUUUGUUGUAAGAGGCACCAGAGAAAGGUGUUGUGCAAAUGAGCACAAAUCUGCUGCAAGAGGCUGCAGAGCUUGUCUGCCUGGACACCUGCCACAGCAGGUUAGCUCCCUCAGAAAUCUGAUAAUCCUCCUUUAUCCUGCUAAUCUGAACAGCAGCACCUUGCCGUGGUGUAGGGCUGGGGGAUGAAGUGCCUGAGUCUGCUUGGUUGUUGGAAUUCAGGCUGGUGGGUUCGUGGUCAGCAGUGCACGUGAAGCCUGAAGAGCAUCUGCUUUUUACACAAACACCAUUCAAGGCUGGCAGCUGAGAGCCAGCGACCUUGGCUACGAUAUGGAGAUCUCCAAAUGCUGCAGAACUCUCAGCUUUCCUGUCACACCCCCCUCCAGUCUGUGCUGUUCAUCAAACACUGCAACAACACUUCUUUUGAAGCUUGAUUUUGGUGGAUUUAUUUAACCUUGUACAUGACAGGAGUUGCGCAGAGCGGUGGAACGACGUUAACUUGACCCUCAUCUUGGAGGGUGCUGAAGGAGCUGUCCUUGUCAGAGCUGGAUGGAGCUCUGGGAGCAACAGAGCAGGGAAAAGUCAGGAAAAGGGUGUCUUGUCAACUGCUCUGCCCGUGUCCUUCCUCCCUUUGGAAAUACUGCUGAGCUUACGUGUUGAAGGUGAAGUAAAUACUAAUAAAGCUGCCGUUAAUUAAAAUUUCUUAGGGCUUCAGUGGAUUAAUUAAACGGUGUUUAAGGAUGUUAAUUGUGGCAGUGUAUUACUGCCAUCCUACAGGGCUCAGGAGAAACAAAUGCUGUUUGCCACACUGCAGGAGAAGCACAGUGGCAGCCCAGGAGGGAAGAGGGGCCCAUCCUGAGAGAGAAAAAUCAGGCUCAGACCGGAGAGAGGCAGCAGGGACAGCAGGCAGGGGAGCAGGAAUGGCUGCUUGGCACUACAGAAAGGGCAGGGUAACAUAAUAAAGGAAAAGGGUUUAAGCAGAGGGGGUAGCACUGGUGUGAGAACAAAUUUAUUCAGCUGGCCCUGACAAAAUGUAGCUCAGAAGGUAUUUCCUUACUGAACCUAUGUUUUGCAGCAGCCUUUAAAGCUGGUCCCUGAGACCAGAUGGAUUGAGCAGAGAAAGCUCAGCCUGCCUGAAAGGGCCGUGUGUUGCAGUGGCAGAGGAAGAGAAGGGAAGAUUCAGCUAUCCUGAGAGCCUCUGCUGAUUUUAGUUUCCUAAAGUCCAUUCUGUUCUGAUGAUUUAUCAAUUUUUUAGCUAAAUAAAAGUUAAGGCAAAACAAGGUUAAAUUCCAGCAGUUCUAGUGGAGGGUGAGAAGCCACAGAAAAUGCUUCCCACAGUGAAAUUGAAACGGGGGAAAAUCCCCUGCCACAAGACCAAGUUAAUGUCUGCAGAUGUCUCUGAAGAGUUGCUGCUGAAGAUGGUCUCUUUCCAUGUUGCUGGUUUAUCAUGUAGACCCUCUAAGCAGCAGAGACUUUGAGCAAGCUGGAGGACUGCUGGAUGCUGAGGCUCGUGUUGUGGAGUGGCUGAGCAGCAUCCCUGAAUCACCAACACGGGCCAGGCAAGAUCUGUACCCAUCUCAUACAAAUGCCCCAGGAGCUGCCCACUGCUGCAGAGGAGUUUGGUUUCCUGGCCAAGUCCCAUCACAGGGGUGUGAGUCAGGCUCAGUCCUGGCAGUGGAAGCUGUUGCCACCCUCACACAAGGUACUUUGCUGUCCCACUGAAGGCACCACCCCACACUGCUGCUGCAGUCCCCAGCCCAGCUGAUUAACACA